UAAUACGGAGGGUGCGAGCGUUAAUCGGAAUUACUGGGCGUAAAGCGCGCGUAGGUGGCGUGAUCAGCCGGUUGUGAAAGCCCCGGGCUCAACCUGGGAAUGGCAUCCGGAACUGUCACGCUAGAGUGCAGGAGAGGAAGGUAGAAUUCCCGGUGUAGCGGUGAAAUGCGUAGAGAUCGGGAGGAAUACCAGUGGCGAAGGCGGCCUUCUGGACUGACACUGACACUGAGGUGCGAAAGCGUGGGUAGCAAACAGG
rnacentral:rRNA from 1 species